rnacentral:rRNA from 1 species
GCAGCAGCCGCGGUAAUACAGAGGGUGCGAGCGUUAAUCGGAUUUACUGGGCGUAAAGCGCACGUAGGCGGAAAUUUAAGUCAGGGGUGAAAUCCCGAGGCUCAACCUCGGAACUGCCUUUGAUACUGGGUUUCUUGAGUCCGGAAGAGGUGAGUGGAACUGCGAGUGUAGAGGUGAAAUUCGUAGAUAUUCGCAAGAACACCAGUGGCGAAGGCGGCUCACUGGUCCGGAACUGACGCUGAGGUGCGAAAGCGUGGGGAGCAAACAGGAUUAGAUACCCCCGUAGUCCCUGUCUCUUAUU